rnacentral:rRNA from 1 species
CCUACGGGAGGCAGCAGUGGGGAAUAUUGGACAAUGGGGGAAACCCUGAUCCAGCGACGCCGCGUGAGUGAAGAAGUAUUUCGGUACGUAAAGCUCUAUCAGCAGGAAAGAAAAUGACGGUACCUGACUACGACGCCCCGGCUAACUACGUGCCAGCCGCCGCGGUAAUACGUAGGGGGCAAGCGUUAUCCGGAUUUACUGGGUGGAAAGGGAGCGUAGACGGCAGCGCAAGUCUGGAGUGAAAUGCCGGGGCCCAACCCCGGAACUGCUCUGGAAACUGUGAAGCUGGAGUGCAGGAGAGGUAAGCGGAAUUCCUGGUGUAGCGGUGAAAUGCGUAGAUAUCAGGAGGAACACCGGCGGCGAAGGCGGCUUACUGGACUGUAACUGACGUUGAGGCUCGAAGGCGUGGGGAGCAAACAGGAUUAGAUACCCGAGUAGUC